rnacentral:rRNA from 1 species
UACGAAGGGGGCUAGCGUUGCUCGGAAUCACUGGGCGUAAAGCGCACGUAGGCGGAUUGCUAAGUCAGGGGUGAAAUCCUGGAGCUCAACUCCAGAACUGCCCUUGAUACUGGCGGUCUCGAGUCCGGGAGAGGUGAGUGGAACUGCGAGUGUAGAGGUGAAAUUUGUAGAUAUUCGCAAGAACACCAGUGGCGAAGGCGGCUCACUGGCCCGGUACUGACGCUGGAGGUGACGAAAGCGGUGGGAGCAAACAGG